CUUAAAGUGGGCCCCUCAUCUUGUACGUGCAUCAGGCCCAAAAACUUAAUUUCACCUCUGACUGUGAUCAACAUAUUGAUGAAGGACUUACAGAGACCAAAGCUCCUGAAGUACCAUCAUUCUACCAUGGAUACUGUGAAGUGGUACCACCGUAAAUCCAUGUCCUCUAAUGUCAGCGGACUAUCAGACCCAGUCAGAGAUGGGUGGAGGUGAUCCGUACAUUCCCUACAAAUUUUGGUGCCCAACGUGGGGCAUCCUUCACUGGCUGGAACACUGCUUGCUCGAAACUGCUGCACCUGAAAUC
rnacentral:lncRNA from 1 species